rnacentral:misc_RNA from 1 species
UUCAUAAGAAAUCUCGUUGAUUGAAAAAAUUUAUAUAUAGAAAGCCUAAACAUUAGGCUCUCAAUCAAACCCUAGACCGAGCAAGACCUGAAAUUCUGAAAAUUAUAGCUAAGAUAAAAAAAACCCAGAUUAAUCAAGACCCAAUAAUCUAAUAACUUCAAAGCCUAACUUACCAACAAAAACUCCAAAUAUUCAAUACCCUAUCAAUGAUCACAUAUAACCACAUUAACCCAAUAAACCCAUCAACCAAAAGCCAGGAGAAAUCACCUACCAGGAAAUAAAAAAAAAAGAAAAGCACUU